UCUCAAAAUACGAUUGUAACUUUUUCUUUGCUAUUUUCUUUUAGAUAUCAAUUACAGAACCUCCUGGGCCCAUAACCUGUUAGAUUACGGAGUAUUUCUUAAUAAACAACAGUAUUUAUAUCUAAAAAGAACCUUUUAUUAUAAUAAAGAUAUACAUAGCAAGAAUGACAGAGUUACAAUGACAACCAAAAACAAUCAUGCCAGCUAGUUAAAUUUUCAGGAACAAAUAUUAAAACUAAACUCAUUUGUGUUACUCAACAGUUCGGUAAAGAUCGGCUCAACCGAUAUAAUAAAACAUACUUAUAAUAUAUAAAUUUGUAAACGCGAUCUGUGUCUAUCUUGUGCAAUAUAAAUGUUAUAAAAUUAGGAAAAAUGUGAUUUUAAAAAUAUAGUUGGUUAUAUUUUAUCGUAUAUAGUAAAUGAGAAAAAAAUAAUGUUUUAAUUAAUAAAAAAAAUAUUAUUAUUACAUGUAAUAUCAUGAUGUACUGUUAAGAAACUGAAUGUUUAGAUUAGAUGAAAAAGUUAAAAAAUGUGUAUUUAUAUAGACUGUUAAUUUUUAAAUAAUAAGGACGUAUUCGCUUUUAACAAAUGUGUUAUUUUUAAUUUAAUAUUUCCAUUGCAUAGGUGGUUACUGUUGUGUAUUUUACGUAUUAUUUUCAUUUUAAAUGAUUGCAUAAUUAAGGUUUUUAGGUGUACGGUUCAUUAAAAUUUAUUAUAUUGUACACGUAUUAUAAAGUGUUGACAAUCAUUAAUGUAUUGUGUAUUUAUUAAUUGUAAUUAAAUUCAUUAUUCCCGAAUAAAAUAUUGAGUUAAUUACUCGUGGUUAUUAUUUUUAGAUACUUACAUAUUGAUUAUGCAACGUCACGCCUUUUAUCCCCGAAAGGGUAGGCAAAGAUGCACCUUACGGCACGUAAUGCCGCUAUACAAUGUACACCCACUUGUCACCAAUCAUUAUUUGUAUUAUAAGUCCCAUGUAAUAGAGGUUGAGCUAUACAACGUGUAACAAAAUACCCAUAUACAUCAAGAAGCGCUGAUGAAUACAGGUUGAAUAGAAUCUCUACACAAAGUUUCAGCUUAAAAUACGUUUAAAAAAAAAUUGUACCAAAUACUUGGUAUCGCAUAGUUCUUGAUUUCAAAUCAUACAAACGUGUCACAACACUACAGGGAUCACUCACUAAUAUUACGAAACAUUUCUUCUGUCAAUCUGAUCGCCUAGUACCUGUCUACCUAAUUUUGAUUCGCGCGCCGGCGCGAUUUGAAAAA